rnacentral:miRNA from 1 species
GUGUGUUAUACAGCAUGUGUGUAUAUGUGUGUGUGGUGUGUGUGUGUGUAUAUAUAUACACACACACAUAUAUACAUAUACAUAUCUAUAUAUAUC